GUUUCCGUAGUGUAGCGGUUAUCACGUGAGUCUAACACACUCAAGGUCCCCGGUUCGAGCCCGGGCGGAAACA
rnacentral:tRNA from 1 species